GACGAACGCUGGCGGCGUGCCUAAUACAUGCAAGUAGAACGCACAGGAUGCACCGUAGUUUACUACACCGUAUUCUGUGAGUUGCGAACGGGUGAGUAACGCGUAGGUAACCUGCCUGGUAGCGGGGGAUAACUAUUGGAAACGAUAGCUAAUACCGCAUAAGAACAUUUACUGCAUGGUAGAUGUUUAAAAGGUGCAAGAGCAUCACUACCAGAUGGACCUGCGUUGUAUUAGCUAGUUGGUGAGGUAACGGCUCACCAAGGCAACGAUACAUAGCCGACCUGAGAGGGUGAUCGGCCACACUGGGACUGAGACACGGCCCAGACUCCUACGGGAGGCAGCAGUAGGGAAUCUUCGGCAAUGGGGGAAACCCUGACCGAGCAACGCCGCGUGAGUGAAGAAGGUUUUCGGAUCGUAAAGCUCUGUUGUUAAGGAAGAACGUGUGUGAGAGUGGAAAGUUCACACAGUGACGGUACUUAACCAGAAAGGGACGGCUAACUACGUGCCAGCAGCCGCGGUAAUACGUAGGUCUCGAGCGUUGUCCGGAUUUAUUGGGCGUAAAGCGAGCGCAGGCGGUUAGAUAAGUCUGAAGUGAAAGGCAGUGGCUCAACCAUUAUAGGCUUUGGAAACUGUUUAACUUGAGUGCAGAAGGGGAGAGUGGAAUUCCAUGUGUAGCGGUGAAAUGCGUAGAUAUAUGGAGGAACACCGGUGGCGAAAGCGGCUCUCUGGUCUGUAACUGACGCUGAGGCUCGAAAGCGUGGGGAGCGAACAGG
rnacentral:rRNA from 1 species